rnacentral:tRNA from 1 species
GACCGCAUAGCUCAGUUGGCAGAGCAUUGGGCUAGUAUUCCAAAGGUCGUAGGUUCGAAUCCCACCGUGGCCA